GCUUACGGCCAUAUAAGCCUGGGUACGCCCGAUCUCGUCUGAUCUCGGAAGCUAAGCAGGGUCGGGCCUGGUUAGUACUUGGAUGGGAGACCGCCUGGGAAUACCAGGUGCUGUAAGCA
rnacentral:rRNA from 1 species